GACGAACGCUGGAGGCGUGCUUAACACAUGCAAGUCGAACGAUGAAAUGGAGCUUGCUCCAUGGAUUAGUGGCGAACGGGUGAGUAACACGUGAAUAACCUGCCCUUAAUUUUGGAAUAACCCAGGGAAACCUGGGCUAAUACCGGAUAAGUAAACCUGUGGCAUCACAUGGUUUUGGAAAGUUUUUCGAUUAAGGAUGGAUUCGCGGUCUAUCAGCUUGUUGGUGAGGUAAUGGCUCACCAAGGCGACGACGAGUAGCCGGCCUGGGAGGGUGAACGGCCACACUGGGACUGAGACACGGCCCAGACUCCGACGGGAGGCAGCAGUGGGGAAUAUUGCGCAAUGGACGAAAGUCUGACGCAGCGACGCCUCGUGAGGGACGAAGGUCUUCGGAUUGUAAACCUCUUUCAGCAGGGACGAAGCGAAGGUGACGGUACCUGCAGAAGAAGCACCGGCUAACUAUGUGCCAGCCGCCGCGGUAA
rnacentral:rRNA from 1 species